GUGGAAUAAUAACCAGAAAAUGAAGACUGUGCUUUAUCUACUGCUGAUGCUCAGAGUGGGACGAUGCACAGUAGAGCAGAUCUUUGAGAUGAGGACUGUUGGUUUUGGAGCUGACGUGACACUGACUUGUCCCCGCAAGUCUUCGGGAAGCAUCUUUUGGAUCAGGCUUGUUUCUGGAGACUUUCCUAAAGUAUUAGGAAAAACUUUCAGCUUUGAGAGAGAUCCUCGAAUCACAGCCACAGAAAAGCCUGGAAAAUUUGUCCUGCAUAUUAAAAACACAAGGCAAAGUGAUAGAGCAGUUUACCUCUGUGUAAAAAUACACCAACAAACCUUCACACUUUUGAAAGGAGCAGACCUGAAAGUUGAAGCACCAGAGCCUGCGAUCACUGCAGUCCUUCCAUCUGAUCCAGUCCGUCCA